UCCCUAAUGGUCUAGUGGUUUAAGGAUUACUCGCUUUCACCGAGUCGGCCGGGGUUCGAUUCCCCGUUAGGGAG
rnacentral:tRNA from 2 species